rnacentral:rRNA from 1 species
AGAGUUUGAUCAUGGCUCAGAUUGAACGCUGGCGGCAGGCCUAACACAUGCAAGUCGAACGGUAGCACAGAGAGCUUGCUCUCGGGUGACGAGUGGCGGACGGGUGAGUAAUGUCUGGGAAACUGCCUGAUGGAGGGGGAUAACUACUGGAAACGGUAGCUAAUACCGCAUAACGUCGCAAGACCAAAGAGGGGGACCUUCGGGCCUCUUGCCAUCAGAUGUGCCCAGAUGGGAUUAGCUAGUAGGUGGGGUAAUGGCUCACCUAGGCGACGAUCCCUAGCUGGUCUGAGAGGAUGACCAGCCACACUGGAACUGAGACACGGUCCAGACUCCUACGGGAGGCAGCAGUGGGGAAUAUUGCACAAUGGGCGCAAGCCUGAUGCAGCCAUGCCGCGUGUAUGAAGAAGGCCUUCGGGUUGUAAAGUACUUUCAGCGGGGAGGAAGGCGAUAAGGUUAAUAACCUUGUCGAUUGACGUUACCCGCAGAAGAAGCACCGGCUAACUCCGUGCCAGCAGCCGCGGUAAUACGGAGGGUGCAAGCGUUAAUCGGAAUUACUGGGCGUAAAGCGCACGCAGGCGGUCUGUCAAGUCGGAUGUGAAAUCCCCGGGCUCAACCUGGGAACUGCAUUCGAAACUGGCAGGCUAGAGUCUUGUAGAGGGGGGUAGAAUUCCAGGUGUAGCGGUGAAAUGCGUAGAGAUCUGGAGGAAUACCGGUGGCGAAGGCGGCCCCCUGGACAAAGACUGACGCUCAGGUGCGAAAGCGUGGGGAGCAAACAGGAUUAGAUACCCUGGUAGUCCACGCCGUAAACGAUGUCGACUUGGAGGUUGUGCCCUUGAGGCGUGGCUUCCGGAGCUAACGCGUUAAGUCGACCGCCUGGGGAGUACGGCCGCAAGGUUAAAACUCAAAUGAAUUGACGGGGGCCCGCACAAGCGGUGGAGCAUGUGGUUUAAUUCGAUGCAACGCGAAGAACCUUACCUACUCUUGACAUCCAGAGAACUUUCCAGAGAUGGAUUGGUGCCUUCGGGAACUCUGAGACAGGUGCUGCAUGGCUGUCGUCAGCUCGUGUUGUGAAAUGUUGGGUUAAGUCCCGCAACGAGCGCAACCCUUAUCCUUUGUUGCCAGCGGUCCGGCCGGGAACUCAAAGGAGACUGCCAGUGAUAAACUGGAGGAAGGUGGGGAUGACGUCAAGUCAUCAUGGCCCUUACGAGUAGGGCUACACACGUGCUACAAUGGCGCAUACAAAGAGAAGCGACCUCGCGAGAGCAAGCGGACCUCAUAAAGUGCGUCGUAGUCCGGAUUGGAGUCUGCAACUCGACUCCAUGAAGUCGGAAUCGCUAGUAAUCGUAGAUCAGAAUGCUACGGUGAAUACGUUCCCGGGCCUUGUACACACCGCCCGUCACACCAUGGGAGUGGGUUGCAAAAGAAGUAGGUAGCUUAACCUUCGGGAGGGCGCUUACCACUUUGUGAUUCAUGACUGGGGUGAAGUCGUAACAAGGUAACCGUAGGGGAACCUGCGGUUGGAUCACCU